rnacentral:rRNA from 1 species
AUACGUAGGGGGCAAGCGUUAUCCGGAAUCAUUGGGCGUAAAGAGUGCGUAGGUGGUUUCUUAAGCGUGGGGUUUAAGGCUACGGCUUAACCGUAGUUCGCCCCAUGAACUGGGAGACUUGAGUGCAGGAGGGGAAAGUGGAAUUCCUAGUGUAGCGGUGAAAUGCGUAGAUAUUAGGAGGAACACCAGUGGCGAAAGCGGCCUUCUGGCCCAUUUCUGACGCUCAGACACGAAAGCUAAGGUAGCAAACGGGAUGAGAGACCCCGGUAGUCUUAGCUGUAAACGAUGUGAACUUAGUGGCGGUGGGGUUAAAUCCAUCGGUACUGAAGCAAACGCGAUAAGUUCACCGCCUGAGGACUACGGCCGCAAGGUUAAAACUCAAAUGAAUUGACGGGG